UGUGAAUAUAUUCUGGCUAUAUUUUGUU
rnacentral:piRNA from 1 species